UUCGUAGGCGGUGUGGCAAGUCGGUAGUGAAAUCUCCAGGCUUAACUUGGAGGCUGCUGCCGAAACUGCCGUGCUAGAGUGCGGGAGAGGCGAGUGGAAUUACAGGUGUAGCGGUGAAAUGCGUAGAUAUCUGUAGGAACACCCGUGGCGAAGGCGGCUCGCUGGACCGCAACUGACGCUGAGGAACGAAAGCUAGGGGAGCAAACAGGAUUAGAUACCCUGGUAGUCCUAGCCCUAAACGAUCAGGACUUGGGGUGCAUCCCGUUGGGGGUGCGUCCCGGAGCUAACGCGUUAAGUCCUGCGCCUGGGGAGUACGGUCGCAAGGCUGAA
rnacentral:rRNA from 1 species